AUAACGACUCUCGGCAACGGAUAUCUCGGCUCUCGCAUCGAUGAAGAACGUAGCGAAAUGCGAUACUUGGUGUGAAUUGCAGAAUCCCGUGAACCAUCGAGUCUUUGAACGCAAGUUGCGCCCGAAGCCUUUCGGCCGAGGGCACGCCUGCCUGGGCGUCACGC
rnacentral:rRNA from 1 species